rnacentral:rRNA from 1 species
UACAGAGGUCUCAAGCGUUGUUCGGAUUCAUUGGGCGUAAAGGGUGCGUAGGCGGCGCGGUAAGUCGGGUGUGAAAUCUCGGAGCUUAACUCCGAAACUGCAUUCGAUACUGCCGUGCUUGAGGACUGGAGAGGAGACUGGAAUUUACGGUGUAGCGGUGAAAUGCGUAGAUAUCUCUAAGAACACCAGUUGCGAAGGCGGCUGGCUGGGUCCACAUUGGCGCUGAGGCUCGAAAGCGUGGGGAGCAAACAGG